ensembl:snRNA U6 U6 spliceosomal RNA
GUACUCUUCUCACUCUGGCAGCACAUAUACUAAAAUUGGAAUGAUACAGAGAUAAGCAUGGCCCCUGUGCAAGGAUGACAGGCAAAUUCAUGAAGUGUUCCAUAUUUCU